GUGGGAACUGCCGGUUGUCCCGGCUAUCAGUAAUAAUGACCAGAUUAGAAUUCCAUCUAAUUUAUGAGUCAUGUAACCUAAAGAUACGAUAAAGGAAAUUCCGUAGGUAAUGAGGUAAUACAAAAAAUGUUAAAACAUAACUCAUGGUGAAAUUAAUCACGGAAAGUUAUUUUUUCCUUCCAAAAAGAGGGUUCUUUGUCUCACACCCCAUUAAAGGACAGAGGUUUGGAAACCAGAUGGGGAUUGCACACUGCCAGCAUCCCACCAGUUGCAGAGAAGAGUGACACAGAGGCCAGUGCUUUACUUAACACCAAAGGGUGGAAUUUCCAGCACAGCUCCCCGUAGAAUUUUCCUAUACUACUCAAAGUAUUGUUUUCUUCUUUAAAUUAUUUACAUUUUAGCCUCUAAUUUGUGAUUUUAAGCAGCCGUCCUCAUUCUCAUUGUCCUAAAAGAAAACAGAAAAACAAGGAAGGUGGACUUCUAGCAAAAUUUGUAACAGCUGAUCUCACUGUCCAUCCAAUCUGAAGUCACCCAUCAUUCUGUGCCUUCCUACCAUCCUUGAUGGCUCUGCCCAUCUCUACCUCUUUAAGUACUGCUCAAGAGAAGCAAGAUCAGGUGCCAACUCAGGAACACCAUUACUACUAAAGAUUGGGCAUUAUACUGAAUUGACAAGUCACUGGAUCAAAGUCUAUUCCUAUUUAUAUUGGUAUAAAUCCAAACUCUUGUGCAACAGAGCAGAAUGUGGCCUCUUUGUCCGAGAGUGAAAGAAUAAAACAGCUCUGUGUCUGAAGAGUUCCUGUUCCGUUUUAUAGCAUUCCAGUAACACUGUGACCCUAAGAACACCCCAAGGCUGGAGGACAAGAGACUCUGGUAUCUAGCAGUGAAUCUUAGCUGGCCUGAUCAGCACCUGGACAGAGUGAUAGGAAAUCCCACUGCAGACAAUUGCCACAGGAGCGCUGCUGGAGGCUGCCAAGGAACCUAAGUACUGAAAUGGGCUAACCAGCUGAAAGGCAGAGGUGGCACCCAAUUCAAACAGCAGGUGGAUCCAGAGGAAAGAAUCCAGCUUCCUUCCUGUUGUCUACACUUACAGGAAAGGAGAGGAAGAAUUCUCUCCCAAUGGACCUGGAACAAUGAGAGGACAGAGGACACUCACCAGCCCUCUUUCCUAAUGAGACGGAGGAAGACUCAGUGCCUGCAAGUGGGGAAGUCUUGCCGCUUAGAGGUGCCCAAGUAUGGUGGUUCAACACAUGGUGGUCCGCUGCACUCACAAGUGAAUUGUGGAGAUCCAUAUUGAUUGCCAGAAGAUACAGAAAAAAGCUUCUGCUGAAAAGUUGCUGCAGAACCAGAGGGCGCUUUGGUGAUAGAACACAGCAGCUGCUCCCAGCCAGCUAGGGAAGAGAGAGAGCCUUCUUCGCAGUGCCUGUCACGCCAGAAUUCCCCCAGGAGUAAAUAAUGCUCUGCGCCACAUUGCUGGCAAUUGUGAAGACACAGAGGCUGCUUGUACUUUAUGUGAGCUCUCAGAGCCAAGUGACUUUGGUUUUGGACUUUGCCUGCUGCACCGAGUGGAUGAAGUGGCUGCAGCAGCGGCUUCUUCAGUAGCCGACAGAGGAAGAUGAGAAUGACACCAGGUAACUAUUACUACAUGAACUCUUCCUGAAGCAGCUUCACACAGUGCAGCGCCAUUGCUGGAUUCAGAAACAAGUGUCAACUGGUGGGAAAGGAUCAGCCUGCAGACCUGGGAAGACUAAAUUUGAGGAUGGCAAAGGCAAUUUUUUUUUUUUAGAUCUGUGCUAUGCAAGUCUCAGAGCUGCAGUGACAAAGUACCAACAUGCAGUGGCAUGUACCCAUUGAGAAGCAGGUCACCAUUGCCCUCUGGAAGCUGGCCAACCCCGAAUAUUACUAGUCUGUAGCCAAUCUGGCAUAGAGAGACUGACAGUUGGUGCCACUGUCAUGCAUGUGUGUUGCACCGGAUUGCUCUGGGUUGUAAAGCUGGGUAAUGCUCAGGAGGUUAUUGGUGGCUUUGUGUUCAUGGGGUUCCCAAACUGUAUUGGAACAACUGAUGAGAUCCAAGUGCCUAUUGUUUGCACCCACACCAGGGCUUGGAGCUUAUAAACAGGAAGGGGUUUUUCUCCCUGGUGGUCCAAGGCCUGGUUGGCCAACAUGGCAGAUUCACAAACAAAUUCAGGGAGGUCCACAAUGGUAGGAUCUUUCUGAACUCAGCUGUAUUUACCUUAAUGAAUAAAGGAGACUUUGUCUCCAGGAUCACUAUGGACAUUAAUGUUGUGGAGAUUGUGCCAGUUAUCCUAGGAGACCCAGUUUAUCCUCUGAUUCCCUGAUUAAUGAAGCCAUUCACAGGGCAUUUGGACAGAGGGAAGGAACAGUUUAAGGAUCACCUGAGUAGUUGCAGAAUGGCAGUGAAAUGUGCAUUUGGUCACCUGAAAGGCAGGGGGGGCUGUUUAUGGACUAGGUUGGAAGCUACAUAAAAAGAGCUCACCUAAGAUUAUAGCUGCAUGUUCUAUUUUGCACAACAUUUGUGAGAGUAACAGAGAAAGCUUUAACGAAGGGUGGGAUGCAGAGACUUCCUUGGUUUGAGCAGCCAGUAAGGUGUCUACUAGAAAAUGGAACCAGCCAGGCCCAUACUGUCAGGAAUGCCUAUUGCUCUUAUUUUGAGUCUGAGGCCUGAAAAUGUUCAACCAAACAUCCAGCUGCUAUCCCAGGUGGUGGAGGCAGGGGAUAGACUGUGAACACUGCAGUCUCUUUUGUAAAAACCUGUGACAUGUAAAAUUCAUAGUAGUUUCUGUGUACCAGAAUGUGUACCACAUUGCAGAUUUUUUUUAUGAAUUAAUUGUAAUGGGUUAUUAAACAAUUUCUUAUAUAACAGCUAGCAAUAAACCUUUAAUUAAAACAAAAAUGAAACACAGUUUUAAAGUGAAGCAGUGGAGGGCAGCACACAACAAGGGGGGGACUCCAGGUCACAGGUGAUUAUAAGUCUUGCCCUCUGUCUCUUCUUGUUCAUCUGUCUUUUGGUGCUGAGUCUCAGGGCUCAAAAUUAUCAGGGGCAUUAGAUGACUCAAAAGAGCCAGGGUCCCUAUGCAAUUAUUUUUGCUGCCCUGAGCUGGGGCCCUGGCCUCUGGGAACAUGGCUCUGGGAGCACAGUGGGAAACAUGCUGGUGUUCCCAGUACCCUGUAUUGUCCAGGAGCUGCAGAACAUGGCUAGGUCCUGGCUGAGGGCACUAGAUUGUCCACGUGCCCACAAACAAUAUGCACUUCUUCAGCAGAGCGUUCUGCUUCUGUAUUGCCUGCAGGAGUUGCCUCUGAAUUAUCUCCCGGUCUGUCUCUAGUGUUUUUUGCCAUGGCGACGCUGUCCCUGGCCACUUCAGUGUUUUCUCUGGGUAGCUUCCUGUCUUUCUCCAUCUCAGACUUCAAAAACAACCUCCAGCUCUCUGUAGUUUUCCAUAGUUUCUGAGGAGUCUGCAAUGAGGUCUGAGAACAUUUCAUCCUGAGUUCUCUAUUUCUUCCCCCUCAAGUUAGUCCACCACACAGCUAUUGACAAGGCCCUGUCCUUGAUGGUCUGGCCACUAUGGGUGCCAUGACCGAAGGAGUAGGGGAAAAAACCAAACAGUUAUUGCUUCUAUUCCACAGAGGCUCUGAUAGCAUUUUUAACAUGUAUUUCUGAUUUCCCCUUCCUGAGAUUCUUCUCAGUCUUGGGGGAGACCUCAGAGAUGGUAAGUUGUGUGCAUGUGGAGGUCUAGAUUAGGGUUGCCAACCCUCCAGGAUUGUUCUGGAGUCCCCAGAAAUUAAAGAUUGAUCUUUAAUUAAAGAUUAAAUUAAAUCUCCAGGAAUUUAUUUAACCAAAGUUGGCAACCCUAGUCUAGACUGGGAUUUCAAGGGCGUGCAGUAUAAGCUGUUUGAAUGUGCAGUUGUGCUUUGGAGGCAGUGGAGUAUUGGGAAUUAUGUUCCUGGCUUGACUUUUCAGUUUAGGCUUUGCCUUGGAGGAGAUUGUGUGGAGUUGGAGAGCUUAGCAGGGGGUGGGAGGUCUCUGCGGGCAAGCUGGAUACUAAACCUCUCUCCAUUCCCUUUGGACUGCCCUGACUCUCUAGGAUGUUGAAGCACAUGACCAGGUGGCAGAGAAUGGCCUUUCUCAAAAAGGCAAAGGGCAGUGAGGUAUGCUAUGAAGUUAUUGACCAGGAUGGUGCCACCAGAAGUGCUGCAGGAUCGAAAGGGAAUUGUGAGUUGUGUUGGGGGUGGUGACUGAGCAGCUAUACUACAGAAUGUCUGGACCAAAAUCAAGCAAUUUCUCACUCUUAGAUUCUGCUUUAUCUCCCCUGCAGAUGUGCUGUAAGUGCAGAGAAAAAUCAAUUUGGUUCUGCACCGGUUAUUUGAAACCUUAACUGCUCAGUCUUUUUCUGUAUAAGCCUGUGAAAAGUGAUUAAGAGCUGUAUCACUAUGCUAUCCCUCAGGUAAACUCUUUUUCUUGUAGGAAUCUGUUACAGGGCAUAAAUACCUCUGACAUUCAGGGGUACAACCCAGACCAGUGAGGGGCUGUCACCCCAGCCCUGCACAUUUGGGUGCCUCACAAUGCUCUGCUGCUGUAACUCCCACGUGGGUCCCUCACAAACCACCAAACAGCAUUCUGCUACUGCCUUGAAUGUUUGUGUAUAGCUGUAGCCUGUAAGCCAGACAUCAGUCACACUCUGGCUUCCAUCAGCCUUGGUUUCCACUUUCAGAAUGACCCUAACACACUUCUAGUCCUGGAUUUUCCCCAAAAAUGUGUGUUCUGCACUGUCCAGUCCUCUCCUGGACAGUCCACAUAUAUUGGGUCUGUUGCCCCUCUAGAGGGGUCAAUAUACAACAGUUUGCCACCCUACAUGGAGUUACCCACACAGUUCACAACACUGGAUUAGUUUUGAUUUAAAGAAUAAAACAAGUUUAUUUACCUCCAUGGAGAGAGGUUUUAAGAGAGUACAAGUAUAAGGCAUUAAAGUCAGAAAUGGGUACAAAAGAAAAAGAUAAAAUACAUCUUAGUAUUAAAACUUAAACUAGACUUAGUUCAAGGUGAAGUCCCUUACCAUAUGGUCCUAGAAACAUUGCUGACCAAAUUCUUAGGCCAGGAUCUGCUCCCAAAAUCCAAAGGCUGUAUUGUAUUUAUGCAAUUGAUUAUUCCUUCAUAAGUGUAGGACUCACAUUUGUCCUUAUUGAAUUUCAUCCUAUGUAUUUCAGACCAUUUCUCCAGUUUGUCAAGAUAAUUUUGAAUUCUAAACUGGAGCUUUAAGAAUGUAACCUGGAUGUAUAUAUGACUAAUGGUGACAAAAUUAUAACUUUAAUACUGGAAAAGAAGUGUUCUCUAAAUAAGGUGGAAUGGUUGGAUAGCCUUACUCAGAUUGCAUCCCUGGUGAGCGUAAUUUAGUCCCAUACAAAAAAGCCUACAUUAAAAUAGAGUUAAGACUGAGAAUAUGUAUUAGUAAUUUAAGAGUAAAAACAUUACAAAGAGAUUGCAGUUAGUCUAAAAUCAAGUGUUACACAAUUUAACUGUCUUAUAGUGAUACCAUGCAACAGCCAUAUGAUUAUGAUUGCGGCAUUUUGUGUCUGGGGUCCCAGAUUAGGUUGAACUGACUUUUAAAAGCACAUUAGCUGUUUCCAUUUGGUUCCCAUCAUGAUAUCACUAUAGGACAGAGUUAAGAUUGUGUGAGUACUUCAAUGUGUAUUUCCUGACAUAUUUGGAUUUCUGUUGCAUGUAAUCUUAACUCUGCAUUUAUAAUGCUUGCUCUUGAGUUAAUUACAACAUUCUUGUCAUGAGUUUUACCUUUAAAAUUAUUGAUGCUUGCUUUCAACCUUAGCUUCAUCUUAACUCAGUUUUUGGUCUGGGGAGUUCCUUGGUUUGCUGCAGCUUAUUAAAAAUUUCACACUGCAAUACUAAACAAGAAACCCAAAGAGAAACUACCAUGCUAUAUUUCUAAUGGUUUGAAAUAUGUAGUAUAUUUAAGGUUGAUAUUAUUUAGUAUUUUUAACUUUUAAGGGCAAAAUGCACCAGAGUAAAACAGUCAGAGCUUGCUGGACAGUUAAGCUGGAUAUACAGCUGCUUUGCAUCUUCAAAGCAGUGCAAAGCAACUGGAGUGUAGUGGUUAAUC